AGGGUGACAGCCCCGUACACAAAAAUGCACAUGCUGUGAGCUCGAUGAGUAGGGCGGGACACGUGGUAUCCUGUCUGAAUAUGGGGGGACCAUCCUCCAAGGCUAAAUACUCCUGACUGACCGAUAGUGAACCAGUACCGUGAGGGAAAGGCGAAAAGAACCCCGGCGAGGGGAGUGAAAAAGAACCUGAAACCGUGUACGUACAAGCAGUGGGAGCACGCUUAGGCGUGUGACUGCGUACCUUUUGUAUAAUGGGUCAGCGACUUAUAUUCUGUAGCAAGGUUAACCGAAUAGGGGAGCCGAAGGGAAACCGAGUCUUAACUGGGCGUUAAGUUGCAGGGUAUAGACCCGAAACCCGGUGAUCUAGCCAUGGGCAGGUUGAAGGUUGGGUAACACUAACUGGAGGACCGAACCGACUAAUGUUGAAAAAUUAGCGGAUGACUUGUGGCUGGGGGUGAAAGGCCAAUCAAACCGGGAGAUAGCUGGUUCUCCCCGAAAGCUAUUUAGGUAGCGCCUCGUGAAUUCAUCUCCGGGGGUAGAGCACUGUUUCGGCAAGGGGGUCAUCCCGACUUACCAACCCGAUGCAAACUGCGAAUACCGGAGAAUGUUAUCACGGGAGACACACGGCGGGUGCUAACGUCCGUCGUGAAGAGGGAAACAACCCAGACCGCCAGCUAAGGUCCCAAAGUCAUGGUUAAGUGGGAAACGAUGUGGGAAGGCCCAGACAGCCAGGAUGUUGGCUUAGAAGCAGCCAUCAUUUAAAGAAAGCGUAAUAGCUCACUGGUCGAGUCGGCCUGCGCGGAAGAUGUAACGGGGCUAAACCAUGCACCGAAGCUGCGGCAGCGACGCUGAUGCGUUGUUGGGUAGG
rnacentral:rRNA from 1 species